UCCUGCAUCUCAUUAAUCUGUUUAUCUAAUUUAAUCAAAGUCACAUUUCUUGUGACUUUGAUUAAAUUAGAUAAACAGAUUAAUGAGAUGCAGGA